AUCAGCUGUAGCAAAAGUAAACAUAAACAAACUCACCGAGCAUGGGUGUCACUGGUCGGAUUCUUCGUACUUACAGCACCAAACCGCCACCAUCCGGCUCUUACAGGCUGAGUCCUUCCAUUCUCUCCGGUCGGGCCGAACAGCGCCGAGUAAUCGAAAACUUUCGAGCUCUUCCAGCGAUACGUCUCAACGCAAAGCAUUCGGCUGGGAAACAGGCCGCUGUCCUGAUUCCGCUCUGUCUGGUGGACGGCAAAGUUAGCCUACUAUAUACCCUCCGGUCGGCCAAAGUGAGCACCCACCGGGGGCAGGUGUCGUUUCCAGGUGGCAUCAAGGACCCCUCCGACGUCGACUUGGAAGCAUGUGCCCUCCGUGAAACGGAGGAGGAAAUUGGCAUCGCUCGCGAGAAGCUCCAAGUAUGGGGCCACGGCAAUGAACUGGUUCCAAAUUUUGGUCCCGCCAUAACCCCAGUCGUGGCAACGAUCGAGCUCGGUGUCGACCCGAAAACACACCUUAGGCCCAAUCCCGAUGAGGUACAGAAAGUGUUCACGGUACCGAUAGAAACCUUCCUAGCUGAGGGUAAUCGACGGCACACACAGUCUCGGUCCGGUUACACCGUUCCGGUUUAUCUCGGUGGCGAAGAAGUGGUGUGGGGAAUGACAGGAAUCAUCACACAUCUGUUCCUGUCGGCGCUGUUACCAAGGGAGCUUUACCCGCGAAGGUUACCUUUCCUGAAAAAGUACACUAGUUGAUGACUAUUGGUGGUGCUGAAGAUACUCGAUUAGGCGUUCUCUAGUAAUAUAGUUGAAUCAUUGCAGCACACUGCAAAAUCGCGUUCGAAAAAGUUUCCCUUUUAUUACUGCUGUCUCCUGCCUUUUCUAGAGCAAAUAUAAAACAAGUUGUAGUAAAUAAUUUACAACCAAAAAAAUAACUUCUCUUUUUUCUCGCAAAUAAAGUUGAAUUUGUUUCGUUUAAAAUCUGAUCCGCACAGGUCCGUUCACUCUGGACUGCCACAACCAAGUGAUCUGGAUGAAGCACAACCAGUUGUUGACCCACUCUGGUCCCUAAGCUAGGUUACAAACUCUGUAUAAAAAAAAUCUAUCCGUUCUGAUUACUAUUUUGUAUUUACAAAAUCGCAAAUUAUAUGUAUUUGAUUGGAUGACAGGGCCGCAUGAGACCCAGGAAGGAUUAGCUCCAAUACAAAACCGUGCAAAUAUUUUCGAUUUGUAUUAACCUAUUUCUGUUUUGGGAGUUUUAGGAAACAAGUAAGACCGAUCGAAGAGGAAAGUGUACAUUUUUCAUAAUUUGGCUAGAAACGAAAAGUUUUUGUACCAUCUUUAAAACAAAACCCAUAAAACGCAAGCGCGCAUCGUUUAACAAAUUUAAAAAUGAAACCAAGAAUGGUAAGGCAUAUUUUUUUAUACGUUCCUAUUAUCUUUCCCCUAUACAUUAAAAGCGAAAUAGAAAUCAUCUUUAAAUUCAAUGUUUUUUGUUUGUUUGAUUAUUAUUUUUUUUGCAUCGACAUUAGAGGCUUGUCUUUUUCGCGGAAACACGGUCGCAUAAACAAGGCUGGCUUUCUUUACGAUUAGCUUCUACUACUUAGAUUAAACUUUACAUUUGUUACUCUCUUCUCCGUUACAUCGCCACGCCCUCUGUCUCUUUCUUUGUCCCUCUCACACACACGUCACCUCACGACUACUGCUUUCAACAAGAUGAUGGCCGUCGCGAAAUUGAUCGAAUCAUAGUAAUAAUAAUAAUAGUAGUUGUAAUAAUAAACAAUAGGCAUAGUUUAGAACGAAUUCGUAUUGCGGUUGGCAGCACUGCUGCCAACGGUUUUACAUUAUAUAAUGUAUAGUAGGCGAAUUAUCAAGUCAACAAUGCAAGGAAGAGGGUCUUGUGUUUGUGUGUGAGUGUGGUUCUACAUGUAAAUGGUUAUCAAAAAUGAUUUUUUUUAUAGUUUUGAUGUUCCUUAUGCUGACUGCUGUUGCUGCUGCCAUUGUUGUUGAUUUUCCGUUGAAUCCGAUGAUUCCUCCUGCUGAAGAAUUGAAUCUGAAAACUUUUGAUCCAAUGCUAAUUUAGUGGUCGUUUAGGUCAAUCGGGAUCGAUGUGGUGAACGUUGGCGUUUCCAGUUCUUCGUGUUUCUUCAUCUUCAGCAUCUGUGGUAUGACGAAAACGAGCAACGACGGUCUGUCGAGAUUUAAACUACAUCCCCUCCGAAGAGAUAGGGUAAAUCAUGCACCAGGAAAGAUCAGAUAUAUGAAUGUAAAAGUGGCGAUAUAGUACAUGAAAGGUGACUGUAAAAUGAAACAAGCGAAGGUGUGUAAUGAAGCCCCAACUAAGAAUUGAUAUCCUUUUUUUGGGUACAAAUGCCUUCAGUAAUGGUAUUUUUGUUGGAUUAUAGUCAACGUUCAGAGACAUAGAAAUAAUCAAAAAAAAAUCUACUACAGUAGUCGUUCACUAACUGGGUGAGGAAGGUAGCCCAGUUAUCGACAUAACAUAACAGAAAAAUGUCAUGACUCACAAAUAUUGGUAAGCAUUUGUUAAUAAACAUGGUACAGCAGUAUAAGAUUAAUAUGAGCGAGCGAAACAAAAGACAAAUAAGCUUUCCGCAUACUUUUCCACAUACA